CUACGUGCCAGCAGCCGCGGUAAUACGUAGGUGGCAAGCGUUGUCCGGAAUUAUUGGGCGUAAAGGGCGCGCAGGCGGCUUCUUAAGUCUGUCUUAAAAGUGCGGGGCUUAACCCCGUGAUGGGAUGGAAACUGGGAAGCUCAGAGUAUCGGAGAGGAAAGCGGAAUUCCUAGUGUAGCGGUGAAAUGCGUAGAUAUUAGGAGGAACACCAGUGGCGAAAGCGGCUUUCUGGACGAAAACUGACGCUGAGGCGCGAAAGCCAGGGGAGCGAACGGGAUUAGAUACCCUGGUAGUCCGCACAGUAAACGAUGGAUGCCCGCUGUUGGUACCUGGUAUCAGCGGCUAAGCGAAAGCAUUAAGCAUCCCACCUGGGGAGUACGCCGGCAACGGUGAAACUCAAAGGAAUUGACGGGGGCCCGCACAAGCGGAGGAACAUGUGGUUUAAUUCGAUGAUACGCGAGGAACCUUACCCGGGCU
rnacentral:rRNA from 1 species